rnacentral:rRNA from 1 species
AGUGAACGCUGGCGGUAGGCCUAACACAUGCAAGUCGAACGGCAGCACAGUAAGAGCUUGCUCUUACGGGUGGCGAGUGGCGGGCGGGUGAGGAGUACAUCGGAAUCUACUUUUUCGUGGGGGAGAACGUAGGGAAACUUACGCUAAUACCGCAUACUACCUACGGGUGAAAGCAGGAGAUCUUCGUCCCUUGCGCUAUUGAAUGAGCCGAUGUCGGAUUAGCUAGUUGGCGGGGUAAAGGCCCACCAAGGCGACGAUCCGUAGCUGGUCUGAGAGGAUGAUCAGCCACACUGGAACUGAGACACGGUCCAGACUCCUACGGGAGGCAGCAGUGGGGAAUAUUGGACAAUGGGCGCAAGCCUGAUCCAGCCAUACCGCGUGGGUGAAGAAGGCCUUCGGGUUGUAAAGCCCUUUUGUUGGGAAAGAAAAGCAGCAGGUUAAUACCACGCUGUUCUGACGGUACCCAAAGAAGAAGCACCGGCUAACUUCGUG